UCGCCUUUAUUCUUCCUUCAUGUUCCGGACAUGAACUUUUUAUUACAAAUAUAUGAACUUUAACAUUUGAAGCCUCAUUUCUGGAAAAAAAUAUAUAUUUUGCCCCUUUUUUUUUGGUAAAAUGAUACUAUAUUUUCAUUUGAUAUUUUGAUGUUAUAUAUACGAGUUUUUCAUUUUAAUGCAUAUGUGUGUCAUAAUAGCUCUCUGUUAAGGACAAAGGAAUAAUACAAAAUCAGUGAACACUGCUUGAAAGAUUUUCCACUCGAACACGAAAAUAAGUUUCUGUAUUAUAUACAGGUUAGAUAACAUUUUUUUUAGGUACUGAAUUUCUUGAUACGUAUAAAAUUCCUGGCCAUGCAAAAACCACAUAUAUAGAAGUGUGCUCUAGGAAAGCAGUAAGUUAUUGGUCAUAUAAACGCUUUAACUCUAUUCCUAUAUAAAGUAAUUUCAUUUGAAUCUUAACUGUAAACGACUUUUAAAGUUGCGCGCAGUUAAUGCGCGCAGCUUUCUUACACAUGUUUAACUAGCAAAGUUUUACCGUUAAAAUACGACUGCUUGUUACAUGAUUGAUAACAGCCUACUAGAGAAAGAAUAUUUAGACAUCAGACAUGUUAAAAAAUAGUAGUAUUACGCAUGAGGCAAAAUAUUUCGUUCGAAAUUAGUUGUUUCCCCUUCCCUAUGUUUCUGGUUUCGAAUUUUAUCAGGGAGGCAUGUGAAGUUUACUUUAAUUUGUUGAGCUACCUUUUUUACAACCAAGGCGGGAUCUAAGACAUGUAAUACAGAUUACUGAUUUGGUAAUUACUGUUUAUAAACAGUUGUUAAUGUAAUAUAUUUGAAACUUUCACUGAAAUAAGUCAAGUCUGUUUUUACCCGGAAGUGAAUCCAAAACAUACUAAGGGAAAUUUAUGAAAUUUAUCUUGUGAACACAGUUGAUUUCAUUAUGCCUGUGUAUUUAAUAUAAAAUGGCCAUUUGGGUUACCACAAAGAUUAUUGAAGGCAGGCAGUUUCUUACUCCAGGUGACCAGGAUUCAUCAAAUUAUUUCAUUGUCCAUGGUAGAUAUUUAGUAUGGAAAAAUACAAUAUACAUGCAGCUGUGAUAAUCAAUAAAUUUGAUGCCACCUUGUAGAAGCCUGCCUAUGUCACAUCAUUUUUUGAAAAGUCCCCUCUUACAGUAGUAGCCACGGUAUUUUAAAUGGAAAUAUGUAGACGUCCUGUAACCUGACGCCUACCCUUCGUUCUAGCCGUCCGGUAACAAGACGCCUAGCCUCUCCGUGAAAGUUUUUCUAGCUGUACGGCGAUCUUUUUAUUUAUGAAUACUGUAAUUAAUAAAUUUAAUGUAUCAUAAUUUGUUUGGCCAAGAUAGAAUAUUCACCUGUAAGGCUUAAUGAAGACAAUAUUUAAAAUAAAUUGAUUACCGGACGCCUAGAAAACCAAAUUGAUUACUGGAAUCCUAGAAAAUCCCUAUAGGAUAGGCGUCCGGUUACCGGUGGGCUAGAACGCUGGCUAGGUGUAUGGUAACCGGACGUCUAGCCACUUCCAUUUAUAAAAUGGUAACUGCUUUUGCUGUGGGUCUCAUUAGUAAUGUCAUUUCUGUCUGGUGACUAUUCUCUUGCCAGUAUUGUUGAUUCAGAAUGUUUUGCAACUGGAUGAUUGUACAUGAGUAGUGGGAAAUAAUGAUAUUUUAUAAAAAUCUUUUCAUUUUUGCAAUAUUUUAGCCUUGCUGUGUGUAAAACAAUUUAUGAUUCUUUAAUUUUAAAAAAUAGAUUCUUAGUAUAAUAACUUUCAAAGUAGUUUGGUAAGUUAAUCAAAUCUUUCACAAUCACAUUAUUAAUCUAGUAUUCAGUUUUUGAUUUUUAGUGAUGUUUACAGUACAUGUAACGUAUCUUCUUUCAGAUAAUAUUCCUUGUUCCUUUGAUGGUUCAUUCCACUGCAGCUGGUUGAUAUACCCUACUACAGCCAGGAAAUUGGUCCUGUUUACUUUAAGAUCUCAAGAAAAUGUAACAUAUUUUAGAUGUGCUGUGAGGGAUCAGGGAGGCAAGUGUGUUUGAUCUUGUUUAUGAAAGCGACUCACUUUGUAAAAGGACAGACAACUUUUGAGCAUGGUACAUCACUACCUGUAUUAGUAUUCCAUUUUGACAAUGCUGCUGGCCAGAAUAGAAAUAACAUCUUGCUGUGGUAUGGUGUGGAGAGUUUCACUGGGUAUCACAGACCAAUUGAAUAUUCAACAAUGAUCGCGGGCCAUGCAGAGUUUGAAUCUGACUGGCACUUUUGAAUUUAGAGAAAUCUAUGGAAGAGGGUGAAUACUGAGACCUUUAAUACAUGAUAUUGCAGACACAGUGUAUCAGUCAUUAAAGAAAGAUCAUAACAUUUCACAGUUGGUCAACAGUGAUUUAAAUCCUGUCACAUUCUACCGGUGGAGAAAUAUCUCAUCACAAUAUUUUAAACUUUUGAAGAACAUAACCAAGUAUUACCACUUUAUCAUGUCUGCAGAAACACCUGGAAUUGUUACUGGUAAAAUUGACAGUCCAGUUAAGACAGUUGACUUACUAAAAUCUACUCCCCCUAACGCAAUGCCAAACGAAUAUUAUUGACAUGGAAUGACACGACAUUUGUACCUGUACACAUCAGAGAAUACUGUUUGUCUGAAAAACCAAAGGAUUCAUUUUGUCCCAAACCACUUGUUCUGAAAAUUGAAAUUGUGAUUGACGAGGAUAUUUCUGAGAAAUGGAAAAAGUGAAGUGAAUGUUAAAGAUAGAAAUUGUUGUUGAAUUGAAACGUUUUAAUACACAACACUUUAGCCUGUUUUGCUGUUCAUAUAGGUGUGUUUACCUGUUAAGGUUAAACAUCAAGUAAAGAUUGUAGUUUCAGUUACCUCCAUAAAAAUAUUGGCUGGAAAGAAAUAUUUACUUUUCACCAGAGCUUGUAGCAGUGCAACCUUCAUCAGUUAAGCUAUUGUGUUAAUUAUUAAAGUAUUU